rnacentral:rRNA from 1 species
GACGAACGCUGGCGGCGUGCUUAACACAUGCAAGUCGAACGGCAAGGCCCUGCUUGUGUGGUGUGCUCGGGUGGCGGUCGGGUGAGUAACACGUGUGUAACCUGCUCUACUUUUUGGGAUGGCUUCAGGAAACUGGGGCUAAUACCGGAUAGGAGCUCAUGCUGCAUGGUGGGGGUUGGAACGUUUCGGCGGGUGGGGAUGGACGAGCGGCUUAUCAGCUUGUUGGUGGGCUAGUGGCUUACCCAGGCUUUGACGGGUAGGCGGCCUGGGAGGGUGACCGGCCACAUUGGGACUAAGAGACGCCCCAGACUCCUACGGGAGGCAGAAGGGGGAAAUAUGGCACAGUGGGCCGAAGCCGGAUGCAGCAGCGCCGCGGGCGGGAUGCCGUCCUUCGGGUUAUAAACCGCUUCCGCCUGUGACGAAGCGGUAGUGACGGUAACGGGAAAAGAAGCACCGGCUAACUACGUG